rnacentral:rRNA from 1 species
GGGGAAUUUUCCGCAAUGGGCGAAAGCCUGACGGAGCAAUACCGCGUGAGGGAGGAAGGCUCUUGGGCCGUAAACCUCUUUUCUCAGGGAAGAACACAAUGACGGUACCUGAGGAAUAAGCAUCGGCUAACUCCGUGCCAGCAGCCGCGGUAAUACGGAGGAUGCAAGCGUUAUCCGGAAUGAUUGGGCGUAAAGCGUCCGCAGGUGGUUUGUCAAGUCUGCUGUCAAAGCGUGGAGCUUAACUCCACACAGGCAGUGGAAACUGAUGAGCUAGAGUUCGGUAGGGGUAGCGGGAAUUCCCAGUGUAGCGGUGAAAUGCGUAGAUAUUGGGAAGAACACCGGCGGCGAAAGCGCGCUACUGGGCCGAGACUGACACUGAGGGACGAAAGCUAGGGGAGCG